AGGCUCUGGCAGCACAUAUACUAAAAUUGGAAUGAUACAAGAAGAUUAGCAUGGCCUCUGUGUGAGGAUUACCUGCAAAUUCAUGAAGCAGUCCAUUUUUUG
ensembl:snRNA U6 U6 spliceosomal RNA